rnacentral:rRNA from 1 species
GACGGAGGAUGCAAGCGUUGUCCGGAAUGAUUGGGCGUAAAGCGUCCGCAGGUGGCAGUUCAAGUCUGCUGUCAAAGACCGGGGCUUAACUUCGGAAAGGCAGUGGAAACUGAACAGCUAGAGUAUGGUAGGGGCAGAGGGAAUUCCUGGUGUAGCGGUGAAAUGCGUAGAGAUCAGGAAGAACAUCGGUGGCGAAGGCGCUCUGCUGGACCAUAACUGACGCUCAGGGACGAAAGCUAGGGGAGCGAAUGGG